GUCCUCUCUUCAGCAGCACAUGUACUAAAAUUCAAAUGAUACAGAGAAGAUUUGCAUGGCCCCUGCUCAAGGAAGACAUGAAAAUUCGUGAAGCAGUCCAUAUUUUU
ensembl:snRNA U6 U6 spliceosomal RNA